rnacentral:miRNA from 1 species
CACAGCGCAUGCAAUGUGGACAU